rnacentral:sRNA from 1 species
UCUCCAGGUUGGUUAUAUGUGGGUUCAUGCUUCCCAGAUGCCACUGGACUGUGUGUUCUCUUGUCCUUGGUCAGCUCCCUCUUCCAUCCCUCACAGGGACUGGUCUUGACACUCUCUGGGUUUUACUGAAUGUUACAUGUUUAUAUUGAAGAGAUUGCUGAUGUUAGACGUUAGGAUUAAUUUGGCAGUGCAAGAGUUUGUGUUUCUCUUUCUUUCAGGAUCUCUAUAUUGUUAUUAAUGGUGGUGUUGAGGAAACCACGGAGCUCCUGAAGCAGCGAUUUGACCACAUUUUCUAUACGGGAAACACUGCGGUUGGCAAAAUUGUCAUGGAAGCUGCUGCCAAGCAUCUGACCCCUGUGACUCUUGAACUGGGAGGGAAAAGUCCAUGUUAUAUUGAUAAAGAUUGUGACCUGGACAUUGUUUGCAGACGCAUAACCUGGGGAAAAUACAUGAAUUGUGGCCAAACCUGCAUUGCACCCGACUAUAUUCUCUGUGAAGCAUCCCUCCAAAAUCAAAUUGUAUGGAAGAUUAAGGAAACGGUGAAGGAAUUUUAUGGAGAAAAUAUAAAAGAGUCUCCUGAUUAUGAAAGGAUCAUCAAUCUUCGUCAUUUUAAGAGGAUACUAAGUUUGCUUGAAGGACAAAAGAUAGCUUUUGGUGGGGAGACUGAUGAGGCCACACGCUACAUAGCCCCAACAGUACUUACUGAUGUUGAUCCUAAAACCAAGGUGAUGCAAGAAGAAAUUUUUGGACCAAUUCUUCCAAUAGUGCCUGUGAAAAAUGUAGAUGAGGCCAUAAAUUUCAUAAAUGAACGUGAAAAGCCUCUGGCUCUCUAUGUAUUUUCGCAUAACCAUAAGCUCAUCAAACGGAUGAUUGAUGAGACAUCCAGUGGAGGUGUCACAGGCAAUGACGUCAUUAUGCACUUCAUGCUCAACUCUUUCCCCUUUGGAGGAGUGGGUUCCAGUGGGAUGGGAGCUUAUCACGGAAAACAUAGUUUUGAUACUUUUUCUCAUCAGCGUCCCUGUUUAUUAAAAAGUUUAAAGAGAGAAGGUGCUAACAAACUCAGAUAUCCUCCCAACAGCCAGUCAAAAGUGGAUUGGGGAAAAUUUUUUCUCUUGAAACGGUUCAACAAAGAAAAACUUGGUCUCCUGUUGCUCACUUUCCUGGGUAUUGUAGCCGCUGUGCUUGUCAAGGCUGAAUAUUACUGAAGAAUGAUCCUGUUCAACCUCCUAGUGCCUCUACUGAAUUAUUCCUCUUUUAAAUGGUUAAUGAACCAAUAAUUUUUAAAUCAUACCAAAAAUAGUAAGAAAAUAUGCAAACAUUCUGUGAUCAAACUUAAAAGUCAUUGCCAUUUAUCAUUAAUAAAAGUUGCCAUUUCAACCA